CCUACGGGAGGCAGCAGUGGGGAAUAUUGGGCAAUGGGCGCAAGCCUGACCCAGCAACGCCGCGUGAAGGAAGAAGGCUUUCGGGUUGUAAACUUCUUUUCUGAGGGACGAAGAAAGUGACGGUACCUCAGGAAUAAGCCACGGCGAACUACGUGACAGCAGCCGCGGUAAUACGUAGGUGGCAAGCGUUAUCCGGAUUUAUUGGGGGGAAAGGGCGGGUAGGCGGGAAAGAAAGUCCGAUGUGAAAACGCAGGGCUCAAACCUGAGCCUGCAUUUGAAACUGUUUUUCUUGAGUGCUGGAGAGGCAAGCGGAAUUCCGUGUGUAGCGGUGAAAUGCGUAGAUAUACGGAGGAACACCAGUGGCGAAGGCGGAUUGCUGGACAGUAACUGACGCUGAGGCGCGAAAGCGUGGGGAGCAAACAGGAUUAGAUACCCUUGUAGUC
rnacentral:rRNA from 1 species